ACUGCUCAGUAACACGUGGAUAACCUGCCCUUGGGUCCGGCAUAACCCCGGGAAACUGGGGAUAAUUCCGGAUAACGCAUAUGUGCUGGAAUGCUUUAUGCGUAAAAUGGAUUCGUCUGCCCAAGGAUGGGUCUGCGGCCUAUCAGGUAGUAGUGGGUGUAAUGUACCUACUAGCCGACGACGGGUACGGGUUGUGAGAGCAAGAGCCCGGAGAUGGAUUCUGAGACAUGAAUCCAGGCCCUACGGGGCGCAGCAGGCGCGAAAACUUUACAAUGCGGGAAACCGUGAUAAGGGGACACCGAGUGCCAGCAUCAUAUGCUGGCUGUCCGGGUGUGUAAAAUACACCUGUUAGCAAGGGCCGGGCAAGACCGGUGCCAGCCGCCGCGGUAACACCGGCGGCCCGAGUGGUGAUCGUGAUUAUUGGGUCUAAAGGGUCCGUAGCCGGUUUGGUCAGUCCUCCGGGAAAUCUGACGGCUCAACCGUUAGGCUUUCGGGGGAUACUGCCAGGCUUGGAACCGGGAGAGGUAAGAGGUACUACAGGGGUAGGAGUGAAAUCUUGUAAUCCCUGUGGGACCACCUGUGGCGAAGGCGUCUUACCAGAACGGGUUCGACGGUGAGGGACGAAAGCUGGGGGCACGAACCGGAUUAGAUACCCGGGUAGUCCCAGCCGUAAACGAUGCUCGCUAGGUGUCAGGCAUGGCGCGACCGUGUCUGGUGCCGCAGGGAAGCCGUGAAGCGAGCCACCUGGGAAGUACGGCCGCAAGGCUGAAACUUAAAGGAAUUGGCGGGGGAGCA
rnacentral:rRNA from 1 species